UAGGGAAUCUUCCGCAAUGGACGCAAGUCUGACGGAGCAACGCCGCGUGAGUGAAGAAGGAUUUCGGUUCGUAAAACUCUGUUGUUAGAGAAGAACAGCGCAUAGAGUAACUGUUAUGCGUGUGACGGUAUCUAACCAGAAAGCCACGGCUAACUACGUGCCAGCAGCCGCGGUAAUACGUAGGUGGCAAGCGUUGUCCGGCUUUAUUGGGCGUAAAGCGAGCGCAGGCGGUCAAUUAAGUCUGAUGUGAAAGCCCCCGGCUCAACCGCGGAGGGUCAUUGGAAACUGGUUGACUUGAGUGCAGAAGAGGAGAGUUGAAUUCCAUGUGUAGCUGUGAAAUGCGUAGAUAUAUGGGGGAACACCAGUGGCGAAGGCGACUCUCUGGUCUGUAACUGACGCUGAGGCUCGAAAGCGUGGGUAGCAAACAGG
rnacentral:rRNA from 1 species